rnacentral:rRNA from 1 species
CACGGGGGGAGCAAGCGUUGUUCGGAAUCACUGGGCGUAAAGAGCGUGUAGGCGGCCAGAAAAGUCCGCUGUGAAAACUCGAGGCUCAACUUCGAGCUGUCGGUGGAAACUUUCUGGCUAGAGUCCGGAAGAGGAGAAUGGAAUUCCUGGUGUAGCGGUGAAAUGCGCAGAUAUCAGGAAGAACACCCGUGGCGAAGGCGGUUCUCUGGGACGGUACUGACGCUGAGACGCGAAAGCGUGGGGAGCGAACAGG